GAAUAUUGGACAAUGGGGGGAACCCUGAUCCAGCCAUGCCGCGUGUGUUAAGAAGGCCUUUUGGUUGUAAAGCACUUUAAGCGAGGAGGAGGCUCCUCUAGUUAAUACCUAGGCCUAGUGGACUUUACUCGCAGAAUACGCCCCGGCUCACUCUGUGCCCUCAGCCGCGGUAAUACAGAGGGUGCAAGCGUUAAUCGGAUUUACGGGGCGUGAAGGGGGCGUAGGUGGCCAAUUAAGUCAAAUGUGAAAGCCCGGAGCGUAACGGGGGAAUUGCAUUCGAGACGGGGUGGAUAGAGGAUGGGAGAGGAGGGUAGAAUUCCAGGUGUAGAGGUGAAAGGCGUAGAGAUCUGGAGGAAUACCGAUGGCGAAGGCAGCCAUCUGGCCUAAUACUGACACUGAGGUGCGAAAGCAUGGGGAGCAAACA
rnacentral:rRNA from 1 species